GGGCAAGGCAGGUGGAAAUGCUUGCCCCUUGAUGGUCCCAGCGCAGUCUCAUCCCUGCAGCAGCUUCCUUGUCCUUUCCUGAAACAUAAACACAAGUACAGGGUCUAAAUGUGGGCAGAAAGUUUAUGAAACAACUCCAUGGCAUUCCUAUAGCUCUCGGAUUGUUGGUGGGAACCAGGUGCAACAAGGUUCACACCCAUGGCAGUCAGCUUGCUCCCUCCAUCUGGCUAAAAGAAGGACUGAGGAUGAGUCAUCUCCAUCUCCUAGACUUCUUGGACAAUUUACCUGUAGCUUCCCUUUAAAAAAAAAAAAAAAGAUGUGCCUAGCAACUUUGCCAUUGACUAUUAUGAGAAUCACCAGUAAUGCUUCUGGUUCCAAUAACCCUUUCCUAUCUAAACUCUCAAUCUUAAAGAAUAUCAUCAUGACAAUUUAAUAUUUAUUCUAACUCUAUUUUCUUUAUUUUUUCUGCAAUGGGGAAUGACUGAAAUAUGGUGAGCGUCAAGAUUAACAUGUAAAUGUUGACAUUCACCAUAACAUAGAAGGAGAGGGAGGGAGGCAUGAAUGCUAAGGAGGCACAAUGAUAUCAAUGCUACAUAAAAACAAAACACAUUAUUUCUUUGCAUGUGAAUGUUAACAUUACCAGACAGAUGCUGAAAGAAUCUAAAAAUUCAGAGCUCUAUAGAUGAAUGUGAUUAUCAGCAGUCACUUCAACUUGUGUAUCCAAAAACUAGGGAUACACACACUUUGGACAUUUACUGCAACCUGUCUAUCCUGCUCUCUGCCUUGGUUUUGCAGAUGUGAGAAGAAAAUAUAUGCAUUUCCUAAUGUGAUAUGUCCUUUUUAUGGCACAGGUUUCCUUGAAACGUAACAAUUAUCAUUUCUGUGGAGGAACCCUCGUUUCCACUCAGUGGAUAAUCACAGCAGCUCACUGUGUUGUAAGCAGAUACCUGCUUAAUUCGCUGACUGUCACUGCUGGAGAACAUGAUUUGCGUGUGCAAGAGAAGGAAGAGCAAACACUACAUGUAAAAUACAUUAUCAAACACCCAAAUUUUAAUAUGAAGAAACCAAUGGAUUAUGACAUUGCCCUUCUGAAAGUGGAUGGUCACUUUAAAUAUGGUUCAGCAAUUUGGCCAGUAUGCCUUCCUGAACCACAUGAAAAGUUUGAUCCAGGAUUUAUAUGUGUCACUUGUGGUUGGGGUCGUCUAAGAGAAAAUGGAAUCCUCCCUGAAGUCCUCCAUGAAGUGGAGUUGCCCAUCCUAGACCAGAAUGAAUGUUCUAGAGUGUUGUCAACUUUAAGGAAACCCAUUCGAGGUGACACUGUAAUGUGUGCUGGGUUUCCAGAUGGAGGAAAGGAUGCUUGCCAGGGUGACUCCGGGGGCUCUCUUGUGUGCAGGCGCGAGCAUGGUUCUUGGACCCUGAUUGGGGUUACUUCGUGGGGCUUAGGGUGUGCUCGUAGCUGGAUGCAUAACCUUAAAAAAAAGUAUCAUAGAAGAGGAACACCAGGAGUUUUCACAGAUCUUACUAAGGUGCUCCCUUGGAUUCAGCAACAUAUCAACACCGAUGUGAAAAUGAAGAGUUCUACAGCAUCCUGCAGCAUGCAAGAUGGUAAACUCCCUGACAAUGAAGGACAGCUUCUUUUCCCUGAGCAUCCCAAGCAUUUUUAUCAGGACAACCAGUUGUGCGUUUGGACUCUGCUUGUUCCAGAAGGAAUGCAUAUACUACUGAAUUUUACCCACUUUGAUGUGGAGUCGGAUACAUACUGUGAUUAUGAUUCCUUGUCGGUGAUUUCUAAGGACGUGAAGCUCAUUGGAAAAUUCUGUGGAAAGGACCCUCCAUUACCCAUUUUGGUUGGCUCCAAUAGUCUAAGGCUAAAAUUUGUGUCUGAUAACAAAGAACAGGGAUCUGGAUUUUCUAUAAUAUAUAAAGCUAUUGAGCCAGCUACCCUCCAAGAUUCUGGCUGUGGAUCUGUUGCCAUACUCUUUGAGGAAGGAACAGUGCAAAGCAUGCAUUAUCCUGAGGCAUACAGUAAUCUGGCAGAUUGUCAAUGGAUUAUUCAUGCUCCAGAAAACUAUGUGGUCAAGCUCAUAUAUGAAAAUUUUGAACUGGAAGAAAAUGAAGACUGUGCUUACGACUCAGUGACAGUGUAUGAAAAUAUUGCAAGGGAGAAGGAAAUAGCUCGAUCUUGUGGAUUUGCUGUCCCAGCACCAGUUUUGAGUUCGUCUAGUACCAUGCUGAUCAUGUUUCAUGCAGAUGAAACAGAGACUUUUGGUGGGUUCAAAGCCAAGUUUUUGUUCAUCUCUGUUGCAGAUCUAAACAUAUCCAAUUCGAGCAGUGAAGUAAUGCUUCCAGAAGAAAUAAAUGAUGCUACAAAUGAAACUGACAUUCCUGGUGACAUUUGUGGAGUAGCAUCCAACCAGCCUCGGUUUCUUUUUAGUCGGAUAGUUGGAGGUGAAGAAGCUGUACCGUAUUCUUGGCCUUGGCAGGCAAGCAUACAAAUUUUGGGAGAAAGCAUCUGUGGAGGAACAGUUCUUACAAGCACAUGGGUAGUCACUGCUGCUCACUGUUUCAAAGGAAAGGAAAAAUACAAGGAUGUUUGGAGAGUGGUUGUUGGACUCCAUGACAUCAAAGACGAAGAACAGCAUAGUCAGAAAAGAUUGGUGAAACAGUACAUUAUACAUCCAGAUUUUAACACCACGACUACAGAUUCAGACAUUGCACUGGUGCAACUGACUGAACCUUUAGAAUUCAAUCAUUAUGUUCGUCCUGUGUGUCUGCCUGAGAAAGAUGAAAAGGUUGAGGCUGCAAGAGUGUGUGUCAUUACAGGAUGGGGCAUUCAGUAUGAAGAUGGAGAAAAUUCAAGAAAACUCCAUCAGCUUGAAGUUCCUAUUUUGGUUUCUGAAGAAUGUCAGAAAUACUAUACAAACCAUCCUGGUGGUCUAAACAAGCAGAUGUUCUGUGCUGGAUUUCCAACUGAAGAAGGAAAGGAUGCAUGUACAGGCGAUUCAGGAGGGCCACUGGUUUGUCCUUCGGAAGAGUCAAGCUUCUACACCCUUAAUGGAAUAAUAAGCUGGGGCCUUGGCUGUGGAAGAAACGGCUAUCCAGGAGUUUAUACAAAUGUUGCAUCUUUUGUUGAUUGGAUUGGUCAGCACAUACAUUGAACCACUGUGGCUACUCCUGUACCAGUAGUGAACCUAGCCUGGAGUCCCAAGACUUUCGUUGUUGUGCUCAGACUCGUCAAACAAGGCAUGAAGAUCUUCAAUGAAUUUGAACCUUGAACUUUUAAGACAACAGUUAAAUUAUGUGACUGAAGGAAUCAUUCCAAAGUGCAUUCGCUGGUUCAUGUGUAGUGACUCUGUAUCUAGAAUUCAUUGUCUGCAUGUUCAUAAUUCCAAGAAGAAAAGAUGUAAGCCUUCACAUGGGCAAACAACAUCAGUAUGGCUUUGGACAUUGAGCUUUUCCAUGGAGAAAUCUAAAACUGCAAUCCUUUGCACCCUUUCCUAUGAGUAAGUCCCACUGAACACAAUGACUUGCUUCUGAAUAAACAUGCAUAAGUUCAGAAAGCA